GUCAAUGAUGAUAUAUGCACUGGGCACUGAGUAGUUCAUAUACUGAUUUAAUGAUGGAUAUGCAGUCCUAGAAAGUUCUAUCUAUUCA